GCCGGGGUGGUGGAAUGGCAUACACGGACGACUCAAAAUCGUCUGUCCUCGCGGACAUGCGGGUUCGACUCCCGUCCCCGGUA
rnacentral:tRNA from 2 species